rnacentral:lncRNA from 1 species
GUCCUCUGCUUUUUGAGCUUUUAAUUUUGUUCCACGUCUUCAGAUUCACACAUAACACAACACCAAUCAAUCACCAAGUCAAUUUGGAUUCUCUCUUUUCUUCUUUCAAAGCCGCUCGCUCUCUCUCCCCCCCAACAUACUAAUCUUCUAUGGGUUACUGCUCUACAAUUCAACAUGUUUUUGUGUUUCUCUCGGUUUUUGUUUAACUAUUUUAGCAUUUAAAAUCCUUCCCAUAAUUUUUAAUUGGGUCUUUUUUUAUAAAUUGAGUUCUGG